rnacentral:rRNA from 1 species
CAGUAGCCGCGGUAAUACGAAGGGUGCAAGCGUUACUCGGAAUUACUGGGCGUAAAGCGUGCGUAGGUGGUGGUUUAAGUCCGUUGUGAAAGCCCUGGGCUCAACCUGGGAAUUGCAGUGGAUACUGGGUCACUAGAGUGUGGUAGAGGAUAGUGGAAUUUCCGGUGUAGCAGUGAAAUGCGUAGAGAUCGGAAGGAACAUCUGUGGCGAAGGCGACUAUCUGGGCCAACACUGACACUGAGGCACGAAAGCGUGGGGAGCAAACAGGAUUAGAGACCCCGGUAGUCCCUGUCUCUUUACA